rnacentral:tRNA from 2 species
GCCUGGGUGGCGAAACCGGUAGACGCAUCGGACUUAAAAUCCGCCGGCCGCGAGGCCAUGAGGGUUCGAGUCCCUCCCCAGGCACCA